rnacentral:rRNA from 1 species
AAACUGGCGGCGUGCUUAACACAUGCAAGUCGAGCGGUAAGGCCCUUCGGGGUACACGAGCGGCGAACGGGUGAGUAACACGUGAGCAACCUGCCCCCGACACCGGGAUAAGCCGUGGAAACGCGGUCUAAUACCGGAUACGACGCGCCCCCGCAUGGGGUGCGCGUGGAAAGGUUCUUUCUGGUUGGGGAUGGGCUCGCGGCCUAUCAGCUUGUUGGUGGGGUGAAGGCCUACCAAGGCGAUUACGGGUAGCCGGCCUGAGAGGGCGACCGGCCACACUGGGACUGAGACACGGCCCAGACUCCUGCGGGAGGCAGCAGUGGGGAAUAUUGCGCAAUGGGCGAAAGCCUGACGCAGCGACGCCGCGUGGGGGAUGACGGCCUUCGGGUUGUAAACCUCUUUUACCACUCACGCAGGCCCCGGGUUCUCCCGGGGUUGACGGUAGGUGGGGAAUAAGGACCGGCUAACUACGUGCCAGCAGCCGCGGUAAUACGUAGGGUCCGAGCGUUGUCCGGAAUUAUUGGGCGUAAAGAGCUCGUAGGCGGCGUGUCGCGUCUGCUGUGAAAGACCGGGGCUUAACCCCGGUUUUGCAGUGGAUAC